CCUAGCAAAGGCAGGCUUCCCAGGCCCUCCUGAAAGCAGCAGUAACUGGGAGUAGAAGUACUCAUCAGCCAGCUUGCCAACAAGUGGAGAAGCAGUUUGACACCUCAAGAGGAGCCAGGGCAUGAUGAAAAGCCAGGACAGAUGAAAAAGGAAAUAGAUGGCAAGAGAAAAUGGAAAGCCAAGAGAAGAGGCUGUAAAGGUUCAUAGAAGAGAACAUAAAGGUGCGGACAGUCACGGAGUUGUCAUGUCUUCAGAGCCAAGUGUCAGGAUCCAGACUGAGAGCUGUAACAUUGGCUACUGCCAGUGGCCAAGUUGUUUAGGAUCCUGAGGCACACGGGAACUGAGACUCUUGUAGGUCAAGGUAGUCUACGUGCCUCAAGCGGACUGGGCACCACUCCCAUGCUCUCUUCCCUAUUGCUACUGUUCACUAUUGCUGAACACUGGGGAAGCAAAUGCCACCAUUCAAGACUCUUGUCUUGCCCCGCUAUGUUCCGUGCAGAAGUACAGCAAAAGAACCAUCAGAUUGGUGACAUCUGAAUAUAAUGUCUUUGCGUAAAUAAUCAAGGACAACCAUUCUCCUGGAGUCUUCCUUCCCGGUAAAUCUCUUGAGUGAGGUUUGCUGUGCAAUGUGACACUGUCCUUGGAACAGAGCCCAGCUGUGACAACUUUCACAAGAGCUGGAGCAGAAAGGAGCAGAGCAGAGAUGUAACACUUUCGUUUGGGGAAACUUUCGCCGACACUCCAGCAAUUGACCCUCCUGUGAAUCCACUAACGACUUCACUGGGGAAAAAAGGACCUCAAGCUGUAAAUAUACAUAAUUUAAUCAUUCCCAAGACCUGUCAUUUUCGUAGAAGAUCCCAGACAAAUGCUCCACAAGGUCUUUGCUUCAGGACCAAUGUCAGAAACGUGAAUGAUCACUUGUUUUCCAAGAAUAUCAUCCUCAUGGAGUCAUUAGAAGAAAAUUAUUCUUCCUGCCUUCAUUUCUUCUUUGUAUUUACUGACUUGGCAAUUUUAGUUCAACUGUUAAUUGUAAAUAAUCAUA